UAGGGAAACUCUACAUCAACGUGCCGUAGAUAGUCUUGAGGACCUUGAGAUAGUACCUGAUCAUACUAGCAAUUGUAUCAACGGUUAGCUACUAGCAAGAGGAAAUGAUGGUUAGUCUUGGGCGGGUUGUUUAUCUCGGAUAGGCGUGACUAGUGAAAUAAAGUAUCUCAAACUUUCUUAUCUGGUGGAAAUUUUGCGUGAUCAGCUAAUAGUAGUUUGACCAAACUUUGUACCUUUAAGUUUCCAACUUUUGUACAUUACCGUUUGUAUCAAUAACGUAAGUGUUUACUGGUAAGUUGGUAUCAAUUGUGUAUGGUGCAUCCUUAUCUGGGUGUGGUGUCACA